ACAGAGUCACAUGAGCAACUACUGGAAGCCACCAAUCUCAACUGAUCUUGGAAGCUAAGCAGGGUCAAUUCUGGUUGGUACUUUGACUGGAGAGCGCCAAUGAAUACCAGGUGCUGUA
rnacentral:rRNA from 11 species